AUGACUGGUUUUACUGAUUCCUCCCUCUUGAAGAACUGUAAUGCCAUUAAUUUGGUGUUGCAGGGAAUCAGGACUGUUACUUUGAAAAAAUUAGAGUGUUUAAAGCAGGCUUUAGCUUGAAUACAUUAGCAUGGAAUAAUGAAAUAGGACGUUUGAUCCUAUUUUGUUGGUUUCUAGGAUUGACGUAAUGAUUAAUAGGGAUAGUUGGGGGCAUUAGUAUUCAAUUGUCAGAGGUGAAAUUCUUGGAUUUAUUGAAGACUAACUACUGCGAAAGCAUUUGCCAAGGAUGUUUUCAUUAAUCAAGAACGAAAGUUAGGGGAUCGAAGACGAUCAGAUACCGUCGUAGUCUUAACCAUAAACUAUGCCGACUAGGGAUCGGAUGAUGUUAAUUUUUUAAUGACUCAUUCGGCGCCUUACG
rnacentral:rRNA from 1 species